rnacentral:pre_miRNA from 14 species
AUUCAUGUGGAGCCUGGACCUGUACCGGGUUCUCUUUGUGGUGAUAUGACAACUCAUAACCAUUCCUUAUCACCGGGAGACAACCUGGUAUAGGUCCAGCGACUCUG